GCGCUCACGUCAGCAGCAAGUAUACGAAAAUUGGAAUGAUACAGAGAAGAUUAAGAUGGCCCUUGUGUAAGAAUGACACGUAAAUUCGUGAAGCUGUCUGUAAUUUU
rfam:Pteropus alecto contig43947, whole genome shotgun sequence.